ACCUGCAGCCCCUGGAGGUUGCUCUCUGGCCUCUGAGGGAAAAAGCGGGGGGGGGGGGGGGGGGGGGGGCAGGUGACAUUGAAGAAAGAGCCCUGAGCUAGGGGUCAGGACUCCUGGGUUCCAGCCCACCACUGCCCCCCAAAAGCUGCCCAGUUGUCUGUGACAGAACAAGGGGGUUGGACCAGCCCCUGUCUGAGGCCCGUACUGGAGGCAGCCCGGUGGAGGGCCCAGCCCUGUGGCGUACAGCCCAGCAGCCCCUGGCCUGGGCUGAAGUCUGAAAGCCUGAGGUUGUCAGAAAGUUCCCCCUUCUUGUGACUUUCUCUGUGAUUGCCUGGCGUUGCUGAGCUAGGGACAUUCCUGGGCAAACAUGAGUGCCUCAGCUGACAUCCAGGAUGUGGGUGAGGGAGCCGAGGCUAGAACAAGAGAAGGAGGAAUGGAGAGAACAGGUUCAGAGCCUCCCUGGGACCUACAAGGACUCAGAAUCCCAGCCAGCCCUGUGGGUGCGGCCUCCAGUCAUACAGAAUAGGGACUGGCCAAGUUUCCACCUCUCGGGCUUCCUUCAGAGGCUGUGUUGAGGAUUCUGAAGUUGUGUCCAAGCUCAGUGGGAAGUGGUGCUGUGGGCGAUGGGCGAUGGCUGUGUUGAGAGUGGAGGGAGGGAUGAUGGAGAGAUAAGCAAACCAUUCGCCACUGCUGAUCUUGUCUCAGCCUCUAAUGCUAUUAUAAUCAUCCCCACUUCACAAGUGAGGGACCCAAGGCCCAGAGAGGAAAAAUGACUUGUCUGAGGCACCAGUCUCCAAGGUUCUGCAUCAGCCUUAGCACCCAGUGCUCAGCACCCAGCACCCAGCACCCAGCAGGCUCAGUUAACCUACGUAGGGGAGGCUUGCCGUCUCCCACAGGUCUCUCUGUAGAGCCCAGACUGCGCAUCGCCUAACACCCACCUCCCCCAGCAGCUGGCAUGGCGGCCUGGCUGUCUGUAUUCAUCUGCACAAACCCAGGCACAUCAGAGCAGGGUGGCCGUGGAGACAGAGGUGGGGGAACACAGAGAGCUGCCCUGCGAGGCCAUCUCGGGAGGAGGCAUGUGGCUCGGCGUGGCCUCAGUCCUGGGCGCCACCCUUUUUUAGCUGUGUGACCCUGGACUGCUCUGUUGACCUCUCUGGUCAUUAUCUCACAGGGUUGUUGGGAGGGUCAGGGUGAUGACAGCGUGAAAGGGACCAGGAUUCAGUGUUCAGUAUCCUCCUGAUUUGGGGGGAGAAGCAGCCACUCCCCUGCUGUGUGACUUCAGGCAAAAGAUGUCUUCUCUGGGUCUCCCCCUCCGCUUGGGUAUAGUGAGGAGGGGGCCUUUUCUGUGCGACCCGGCCAGCGGCCAGCGGGGAGAUGCUGUGGAAGCGAGGGUCCAGUGACUGCUGCAGGCCUGACCCCUCCUGGACAGACUCAGCUAUUCUCAUAACCUCCCCCAUGCUCACUGACACCUGCCCUUGGCGCCACCAAAACUCUGAGAGCAGGUAUUGUUCUUACAGAUGAGAAAGUGGAGACCAGAGAGGUGGGGUAGCUUGCUCAAGGUCACACAGCCUGGAAAGGAGACGGGGCUCAAACCGGAGCUUGACUUUUAAUCUAGUGCCCCUUUCCUUGCUUCCCAUGCCCGUCCUGGGGCCACGCAUCAUGAGGACAGAACCCCUGCUCCUCCUUCCCCCUCCUCCUGGCGUCUGUGUACCAGCCCUGCCAUGCAGAAGCCAGGAGGCAGAUGAAAAGGAGGAAGAAUUGGAGAUGGGGCCAGGUUUUUCUCUCGAUGGUACUCAGCUGGACAAGCCAGAUGCCAGACGGUGUCAGAGACUGCACCCAUCCACACCUCGUGGGUGCCUGCUCCCUGCCAGGCCCCGUGCUGGCGACAUCAGAGCUGCCUCGGCCUGGUUCCUGCCUGUGGAGCUCCCUGUCUGGUGGGCAGACAAGGAAACAGACCAUUACAAUGCAAGGGAGAAGUGCUGGGGUGGUGGAAAGAGCCGCUGAUAGUGUGUGGAGGACGAGCGGACAUGCCAGGACCUCCCUAGGUCUCGGCCCAGGGGCACCUUCUGCAAACAUGUCUGUGGACCCCUUAUCCAGCAAAGCCCUGAAGGUGAGGAGGCAGCCCCUGUAGUCCCACCCCGCCCUCCCUGCCCAGCCAACUUCCCCUUCAGUACCCGGCACCCCCACAGCAGCUCAGCAGGCACGAGGCAUUCCUGGGGCCUUGGCUGGGAACCAGGAGGCUGUGUCCCCGGGGCAGGCCGUUUCCCUCUCCAGACGGCUUCCCCAUCAGGGCAAUGCCCACUGGGCCGCGGGACUUCGAAGGUGCUUUCCUGUGUUUCUUACGAUUCCUGCCCCUCUUUGGGGUCUCGGAACAAGUCCAGCACCUCAGUGCCUAUGGCGGUGGAGGGGGCGCCGUCCCCAGCACCUGAUGUGUGCCAGGCCCAGGGCUCAGGGCCCAUAGGCAGGGGGCGA